CUUAUCUCUUUCUCUCUAUUUACUCAACAAAAAAAAAACUCUCUUUCUCUCCAGAUCUGAGCGGCGGCGGCUCCAUCCUCUUCCUCCACCCGUCUCCCUCAGAUCGAGCUCCGCCCCGAUGUGGAGGAACGUAUCGCCGCCCCGAUGUGGAGGAAGGCCUCACUGCCCCGUCGAUAUGCAAGCAUGAAUCAAGCGAGCUCCACCCCGAAGUGGAGGAAAUGGUACGCGGCCGUCGAUCUGCGCGCGUCUAGCCAUGGAGAUGGAGGGCUCGCCCCCUCGCGUGCUCCUCCACGGAGUGCUAGCAGCCCACACGGCGUACAUCAGCCAUCCGUUUCGUCCGUCCCAUGCGCCGGCUGCCGGUGGCUACCGCUCUGUUCUGUUCAUCCCCCGCCCGCCGCACGCGAUGGCCCACACUGCCAUGUUGUUUUGCUGCAGCCAGACCGCCAUCGCUGCCCUCGCGCUCCGGGCAGAGGCUCGUUCUUGCUGGUACGCGUUCCUCCCGACGGUGGCGCUCUGCCCACUGCGUCGCCUUUCUUCCAGCGGCUGCGCCGUUCAACCCCUACCUCUAACCUAUUGAUCUGGCAACACAGAGAGGAAGCUGCAAAGACGCGUGAUGAGUAAAAAGUCGAUACACCUUUAAACUUUGCAAUAUUUGGGAGAGGAUGACUAAUCGAAUAUUGCUAACAUAUAUGUUUGUUGUCCUUGACCUGGAUGCCGAUGACACUCUUUUUCAUUCAGUUUGUAGUUGGUUUGCAUUGUUUCUGCAAAAGAAUCUUGUCUGGAUGUCUUAAAAAAAUAGUUGGUCAUGAGUCAUGUGGGUUACAGUGCAUCAUCUGUACUCUGCCUCUACAUAAUAUACAUCUCAUUACUUAUUUCCACAAUAUCAUAAGUCGAGAAAUAAUUUGUUUUGUUGUUUUCUGUUGUGAAGUGUAUGAUACGGACAUUUCACUCCAUUUGUGCUAUUUUCUACUCUAAUUGACAUCUCAAUAUGUUAUUCUAGAAUUUUGUUGCUUCUGUUGGAACCCAUAUUAUCAAUUUUACACCAUGCAAAAGUCAUGACUCACAGGCUGUAUUCUGACUGUUUAGGUUUCGACUUUGGACAUCUGAACAGAUUAUAUACUGGAGAUUGCUUGUAUUAUAAUAGAAGGUAAACUUACCAAACGAACAGAGGAAGUUUUAAAACAGAGUAUUGUCUUCUAUGCUAUGCACACGUCAAAAUGGUAUGCUAGUUUUCUGAAUCUUAAUCCAGUAACAAUAAAUAGUUCUUGAGCGUCAGUUCUAUAUGUCAGUGGUCAAAUGAUAGUCAAUUCUUUGUUUCACUCAUGCUCAAAAUUGUCAAAAUAAUGCUACUUCUACCCAUAGUACAGACAUUAAGGAUCAUAAAGUUCAUAUAAGACAUUAAGGCUAUCAAUUUUUAGGCAUAUUAUCUAUUUGUUAUGGCUCGGUAGACUUCAAUCUUUAGAAGAUGGAGAGGAACUUGGCUGGUAGUUUUGUGCUUGCACUUCACAUUCAUUUGUUAGUACUCCAUUUGCUAUGCAUCAAGAUUCAAGCAAGUAGGAUUCCCAGUGUAUUUGCAGUUUUUACAUCGUGUAUUGCAUGUGAAUUGUGGUCACUACUGUCAAUCCAUGGAAAUUUAAAUGUAUAGUGAUGGAUGAAACGAAUUGAACCUAUAUCUUACCAUCCAUAUGGCAUAACCGCAUAAGCAAGUUAGUUCUAAAAGGUCAUUGUUAAUUUACCCGCGUCCGUCCCGCAAUUGCCACAACUCAUCUUGCAUAAGUGUUCCUAUAAGUUGGUACAAAGAUUUGACCGUGGAUGAACUUCAUAUGGAUAACACAGUAGUUUGUGCACAACCAUAUUGCAUUUUCUUGCAUAAUCUGAAAACAUCAAAAUUAACUAGAGAAGUGAAUAUAUCUUCUCUAACACGGUCCACAUGUUCCUCUGUCAGUUUGGAUCAUAACAAGUCGAACUAUCAGAAGCACAUAGUCUUCCGACCCCAAUAGGCCAAUACCCAUGGGACAGCCCACAUCGUUUUGGCACCUUACCCGUGGUGUCCACAACGACAAUUUUUGCGGGCUUGGAUGUGGGCACCAUGGGCAUCCACUUGCAGCCUUAGUUGCUAGUGCUUAGUGCAGUGAGAUCAGAGGAUGGUUAUCAAUUUAAUCUAAUUUGUGGCACUAAAUUACAGGUGCUUUUUCCGAUGCUUUUAUGAAUAUAAUAGUCAGGUGCAGCCUAAGUUCAGAUGCUUUUUGACUAGUAUUUUGCAGGUCCUCAUGUGCUUAGUGCUGCAUUUAGAAAUGACUGUGAAUAGAUUAUUCUUCUUGAAAUUCAUUUCUAACAUAGGGAAAGUAUGUAUAACCUCCUGAUGUAUGUGGGUUUUUCACAAUGCUUUUCCCAGGCCAUGCUGCAUUCAUCAUUGAAACUCCUAGUUGUGUAUUAGAUAGUAAUCAUUUUGCCAAAUUUAUUGCCGUCUAGUGCAGCAAAGUCCAGUCUUUUCCACUCCAGAGAAGAAAAAGAAAGAAAACUAGUGCAGUCUUCUCUACAAAAAUGACUUUUGUGUGUCCGUCUGUGGAUGUGUUGCUCCCAAUAAUUGGGCGUCUGGACAUGCCCUGGUUUUGCCAUUGAUCCUUUAUACAAUUAUUAUUUUUACCAUUAUCUCUAUGAAUGCAUGAAUUCACCGUGACUUCUUUUAAUCCUUUGUAGGAAUGACAUACAAGAGGACCUUUGUAGGAAUGACAUACAAGAGGACCAGGGAGGAACCAUGAAGAUGGCAGUUUGCGUCAGCUAGACAUUUUGUGUAAUGGAGCAAUAACAAUGCGUCUUCUAUGUAUCAUUUUGUAAACCUACUAGAUCAUUGAUGCCGCGCGUUGCUGCGCCCGUUCAUUUUGGUAAUAGAAUAAUAGAAAUUUGCCUAAAUAUGUCGAUCCACAAAACAUAUAAGUUAAAUUUAUAUAAACUUACAUACA